CUCACCUGUCGAAAAUUGACAACAUAUGGCUGCUCGAAAGUGACUUUAAAUAUUUAUUAGAAGUUUAACUACACUCCUACACAUGUAAUUCUUCUCACACUGAAUGCCUAGUCACAAUGUUUGAAAAGUUUUAUGUGAUGGAUUUAACAAGCAGAACACCACAAUUUGUAAAGGGUGGCACAUAAUUUUGAUGAUGUAAGACUUCAUAUAUGCUGCUUCAGCCAAUAUCACAAAAAUAUGCAUGAGGAACACACCAUCUUAGAAAAAGGGUUUUCUCGUGCCUGCCAAAGUAACAUGCCUGCUGUGAAGGAUCACAUAUUUAAAGUUGUGAGACUUGAGAACAAAGAGGUGGAAGUUGACUUUGCAUGUGGUGAAAACUGUUGCUUACGGAUGCAAUAACUUUGAAUCCUCUGAAAAUUGAAAAUCUUGGAGUCAUCUCAAUUCCAGUAUCUGUUCAGGUAUU